GGCCGGUUAGCUCAGUGCUGAGCAUGGUGCUGACAACAAGGACCAACAUCAAGGUCGCGGGUUCAAUUCCCGCUCGGUCC
rnacentral:tRNA from 1 species